CCCCUCUCAGCAUGGUACCUGGAGAGUUUCCAGUGCUAUAUCAGUCUCGGCUAUGCGAGGGAGAGUCAAGCAGAGGCUUAGCCAUUCCAUUCCUAGCUUAGGCAGUGGCUAGCGAGUGGAAGACAAUCUGCUACAAGU